AUGUAUUAAAAAUUUAAUACUAAUGAAGAACAUCUAGCAGUUUUUUUAAAGUCAACUGAUACAAGUUACAAAUGGGAUAUAGGAUGUGGCAAGCAUAUGAGAUAUAGCAGAUUAAUUUUUUAGAAUCUAAAAAACUUGGAGUUAUGUUUGAAAUGUUUUUAAGUGUGACUGUUGACAGAUGUGAUCCAGGGGAUGAAGUAUAAUCUUUAAAAAGUAUGCAGAGCUCCUUCAACCAUACUGGGGUUUUUCUGAAGUGCUUCAAACAAUUUUUCAUAGUUUUAAAUGAAGAGAAGUAGAUAAAUGACUAUAUUGAUGACUCUGCAAAGAGAAUCUGCUAUUCAUGAAGCUGUAGUACAUUACCUUUGUGCUUCUCUCUAAAGGAUGUCCAUGAAAUAAUUAUAAUAGGGUUAGGUUUUAUUGUUAAAAUAAUGCAGAUGAACUUUUGUAGAUAUGGAAAUGCUCAGUGUAUUUCAACAAGGUCUGAAUUUUUUCAUCUCAGUUCAUGAUCACUAUAUGGUCUUAAUAUCUCACAGAGAUGUGUUGCCAUUGAAAGUUGUGUCUCAUCUAAAAGUGAGUGGAGAGCUUGCAGGACCACCUUGCGACCUCAACUAUGUGCCUUCAAGUCACCAAAAGACAUUACUGCUGGAGUGAUGACACCUUUUCUCUUCAUGUAUGACUCCACAGAUGCCAACUGUAAAGGACUCCAACACCCCUCUUCAGGGAGCUGGAAUUGCUGAGAUUACAGAUUCUGCAAGCUGGAUACUUUCGAAGAUAGUGUUCCCCUUUCCCAACAGCAAGAAAUCAUCACCCGUAAUGGUUUUUCACAACUAGACCAUUGAGAUAGAUGUUUCUCAUACUAUAAGUAAUUUGUUUUUCUUGAAUUCUAUUCAUUUAAUGUAAUAUACCUUAGUUCUCAGGUGAGCCUCCACUAUUGUUUUACAAAUAUUAUGACCUUAUCUUAAAACUUGUAACUCAUUAGAGUUCAUCAUUAUUCGUUUUUGUUAUUCUUUCGCAUUUUUCUGUGGUUAAUUUUUUCUACCUUGUGCAUAAAAGUUUGUUUUUCAGGGACUUCUAGGUACCCACCUUAUUUGGCACAAGUGUUUGCUCCUGGGGGAUUUAAUACAAUUCACUGAGGUUCUUUUGACUUCUUAGGGACUGGAAUAACUGUAAUAUUCAGUUAAUCACUGACAGCUCUGAUAAUCUUCAUAUUUGUUCAUCCCUCCCCUACAUUAGAAGAAUGUUUAUUCUCUGCUCAACCCUUCUUUGUAAAAGCUUGCAAUUCUUGAUUUGCUGGUAAUUUUGUAUGAUCAUUAAACUUCAGUUCAAAUGU